GGGCCCGUAGCGCAGAUCCAGGCGAGCGGAAUACGGAUAGCGCGGCAGCCUUCUAAGCUGUAGGUCGUGCGUUCAAAUCGCACCGGGCCCG
rnacentral:tRNA from 1 species